UGGGGAAUUUUGGACAAUGGGCGAAAGCCUGAUCCAGCAAUGCCGCGUGUGUGAAGAAGGCCUUCGGGUUGUAAAGCACUUUUGUCCGGAAAGAAAUCCUCUGGGUUAAUACCUCGGGGGGAUGACGGUACCGGAAGAAUAAGCACCGGCUAACUACGUGCCAGCAGCCGCGGUAAUACGUAGGGUGCAAGCGUUAAUCGGAAUUACUGGGCGUAAAGCGUGCGCAGGCGGUUUUGUAAGACGGAUGUGAAAUCCCCGGGCUUAACCUGGGAACUGCAUUCGUGACUGCAAGGCUAGAGUAUGGCAGAGGGGGGUAGAAUUCCACGUGUAGCAGUGAAAUGCGUAGAGAUGUGGAGGAAUACCGAUGGCGAAGGCAGCCCCCUGGGCCAAUACUGACGCUCAUGCACGAAAGCGUGGGGAGCAAACAGGAUUAGAUACCCUGGUAGUCCACGCCCUAAACGAUGUCAACUAGUUGUUGGGGAUUCAUUUCCUUAGUAACGUAGCUAACGCGUGAAGUUGACCGCCUGGGGAGUACGGUCGCAAGAUUAAAACUCAAAGGAAUUGACGGGGUCAUAGCUG
rnacentral:rRNA from 1 species